rnacentral:rRNA from 1 species
AGUGAACGCUGGCGGUAGGCCUAACACAUGCAAGUAGAACGGCAGCACAGUAAGAGCUUGCUCUUACGGGUGGCGAGUGGCGGACGGGUGAGGAAUACAUCGGAAUCUACUUUUUCGUGGGGGAUAACGUAGGGAAACUUACGCUAAUACCGCAUACGACCUACGGGUGAAAGCAGGGGAUCUUCGGACCUUGCGCGAUUGAAUGAGCCGAUGUCGGAUUAGCUAGUUGGCGGGGUAAAGGCCCACCAAGGCGACGAUCCGUAGCUGGUCUGAGAGGAUGAUCAGCCACACUGGAACUGAGACACGGUCCAGACUCCUACGGGGGGCAGCAGUGGGGAAUAUUGGACAAUGGGCGCAAGCCUGAUCCAGCCAUACCGCGUGGGUGAAGAAGGCCUUCGGGUUGUAAAGCCCUUUUGUUGGGAAAGAAAAGCAGCAGGUUAAUACCCCGCUGUUCUGACGGUACCCAAAGAAUAAGCACCGGCUAACUUCGUG